UACGAGGGGGGCAAGCGUUGUUCGGAAUUAUUGGGCGUAAAGGGUGCGUAGGCGGUUUGGUAAGUCUUAUGUGAAAUCUCCCGGCUCAACUGGGAGGGUGCGCUACAAACUGUCUGACUAGAGUGCGGGAUGGGAAAGUGGAAUUCCUGGUGUAGCGGUGAAAUGCGUAGAUAUCAGGAGGAACACCGGUGGUGUAGACGGCUUUCUGGACCGUAACUGACGCUGAGACACGAAAGCGUGGGUAGCAAACAGG
rnacentral:rRNA from 1 species